UGUCCUUUUUCUUUGUAGUAGUAUAACAAGUUUUCACACCCCUCCGGACAAGUUUAGAAAGCAGAAAGCAGAAAAGUAAACUGUUGUUCUGCUGAAGCAGGAAAUAAGGAAAUGCCUGGACAAUGUUUUGCCAAGCCUGAUGAUGAGGAAAACAAUUAUUGGUUUUAUUCAGUAUAAUGAUUGUGUAAGCAUUUAAGGAAUAACAGAAAGACAGCUGUGAGAGCUACGGGAGCAAAAUGUCCCCCACACACAUCCAUAUAGAAGCACUCUAUAAAAAAGGCUAUGAAUGUUAACUUGGCUGGCAUUUUUAUGAAGACGUAUUUGACUGUAACUUCCCCGUAUUUCCUCUGAGAAAACCUUCUCGUUUCUCCUCACCCCACGACAAAUCAGUGAAAAGCAGUCUGUUCUAGAAAUGCUCAAAGUGGCGAAGCAGGAAGAGCUGGCCCUAUUGAAGCCUGAGGAAAAGAGGCUUUCAUAGACCUUAAACAGAUUUUAAUAGUUGUAACUCUUCUCUGUUGUUGCUUCAUAAACAUGUCAUCCAUCACCAAGACCACUUUCCUGUGGUUCCUAAGCAGUGUGCACAUCUGGUUUGGAAGAUUGCCUUUAGUUUAGUUUUGACUGGGUCACAUUUGAUUCGAAUAAUUUCCAUGAAUUCUCCAGCGAAACCACAUCAACAGCUUUGACUAGUGUAAAAACAACCGUGGACACUCUGCUAACCCGUUCAAUAGAGUCUGUGACAUUACAGUCAUAUUUUGAGUCUAUUUUCUAUUUUCUACUACUGUUCAUGGAAUGACUUUACAAGCAGCUCCUGAACCGAGCUGGAUUUGUCUGUCAUCUUGUGUAACUUUAGGUCCUGCAGGAAGAAGCUUCAUUGCUUCCUAACAUAAUUCUGGAAGUGAAAGUUCUGCAUUUAGAAAGACCUGCAGGUUCAACAUGUUCUAGGUUUCUAAAUUGCGUUUAAAAGCUAUAAUCUUGAACGUCUGCCAUUUUGCUGGCAGAUAACUUUGUUUUUCAGGAGGUAAGUUUUAUUUCUUUCAUUGCAACAAUAGAUUAAUACAACACUGCACAGAUAUUUUGAUUUAUUCUGUAAUUCUUUUUUUUUUUUUAGAUAAUAUUAAUAAGCUGAACGUUUUAGAGAAAAGUAAAGAAAAUAUUGCAGCUUUAACAUUUAUGAAAUCUAACCCUGAAAUUUAUUUAUUUUUGUUCUGAGAAGAAUGCAGGUCCUUCUCAACUUCAACCAGAAGAGGCUGCUGGAACAACUGGUGCAGUUGAAGGCAAGGCCAAUCAACAACCACGCACUAAGAAUGCAGGUCCUUCUCAACUUCAACCAGAAGAGGAAUGUCUACUUAAUUCAAAUGAAUACACUGAGACGAGCACCUGAAGAACUUCAUGCAACUACGAGCAAACUGUUAAACUCUCUGGCUGUGGAUCCUUUUAUGUUCCUGAGCUUAGAAAUCAGCACUUCUUCAUUUCAAGUAUCUGUCUGGGAAAUAUUUUAUUUGAGGCCAUGUACAGAAUGAACUGGUGCUGGGUGCAAUGAAAACAUUACUCCAGUUUAUUUGCCCGUUUCCAGCUUUCUCUCCCCCAGUCAUGUGUGAUUGUGCUCAUGGGCAAGGCACUUAACCCCAAGUUGCUUAACAAUCUGCUUAUCUGUGUUUAUGUCAUGAUUUUUCUUCGAUGAAUCCAGAAUGCACACCACACACACAGAGCUAUUUACUGAGAGUUUAUUGAAAGGAAGAUGAGCAGUGGAUAAUGAAAUCAGAGAGGCAGGACUGGACUGGAACAGGGGUGUAGAUGUGAGCAAGAGCUGACGGACGGCAGAGAGUUCUUGAGAGCAGGGCUGCUGCAGCACAGGGGAGGCAGGAAACCCAGCAGUUAGCAGAGGCUUGACUUGAGGCACAGGGAAGGCAGGAAACCCAGCAGCUAGUGGAGGCUUGACUUGAGGCACAGAUGAAGGCAGGAAAAUCCAACAGCUAGCAGAGGCCUUACUUGAAGCACAGAUGAGGCAGGUAAAUCCAACAGCAGGCAGCGACUUAGCUAGAGACACAGAGGUGGCAGGGUUCCAGCAGUAAGCAGGAGCAAACCAGGUUGACAGACGUGGAGAGAGUAGAGUCUGAUGACAGACCGGCAGGGAAGAGAAGACUGAUGGAGGCUUUUGUAGGGAGGCCAUCAGGUGGAGUGAGUUCUGACCAAUUAAUGUCCAACAGGUGUGACUGACUGCAGAGGGAGUGAAGGGAAAGCUGAGAGAGAGGAGGAACUGAAAAACAACAGGGCAAAAAAGGCAAGACCAAAACUGACAGUUUACAUGUGGCUCUGGUUUAAAGCGUGUUGAGUUGUCACUGGGACUAGAAAAGGUCUAGAUGAAUUAAAUUAUUUUAUUAUUCCAGAGUUUUAACAGGAACUCUAGGAAAACUGCAGCUUGUGAAUUUCUCUCUAAACUUUGCAUCUUUACAUCCCUCAGGUGAUGGUGAUAUAGCUCAUUCUUACAUUAGUAUGUUAUAUAUUUGUUUUCACAGUUUUGUUCAGCAGGAUAUUAAGCCACAAAUACAGCUAGGAUCAAAUAUUUACAUACACUGUAGAACAAAGUAGUACACAAACCCUGAGACUUGUAAAGGAAUGGGCCAAUUAAAACGUACGAGUGAAACGUUUUGUGGAGCCAAAUGUUGACAAUAUUACAUUUUGCCCAGUGGACCCACUUAGAUAUUACACGUAUUUCAGUGAGACUGGGUUGUCUGUCACUAAAUCAAACUAAACUUCCCAUUUUAGAUCAGUUCUGAUUACUGAAGUUAUUUCAACUUGUUAAAUACCAGAAUAAUUAAGAGAUGACUUGUCAAAAUGUUAUUUAUUAAGUCCAGCAGAUUGAGCAGCAUCAUAAUACUUUUUCUUUAAACAAUAUAGGGAACUCCAGAUGAUGAUGUGGUUGUUUUGACGUAACUAGACUCACCUGUGGAGGUGACACCUCCAUGCUUCUGCUUCCUGUUGGGACAUGUGGAGAAAAUAAACAAUCUUGUGAAGAUGUUGGUAGAGAAUCAUGAUCCAUAGAGAAACAAGGCCUAGAUAAACCUGGUAUGAAAUGCCCUCAGUGAGGAAAAAGCCUUUAGUCCAGGAGGAACAGGGGACAGUUUGUAGAAACCCUCUUUUUAGGAGACAUGUCCUCUGGUCUGGUGAAGCUAGUUUGGACAUAAUGACCAUUAAUAACUUUGGAGAAAAACAGAGGAAGUCUGAGAACAACAUCCCAACGGAAUCAUGCGUACAGUAUGUGGAGAUAUUGGCAUCACCACACAUGUUUGUGUCUGGGUGUCUUUUGAUCUCCAGGGUGGAGAACAUUAACAGUGCUGGAAUAACUGGACUUGUGAGAUCCACAUUCAUCUAUCAAUGUUUCUAUAAAGUUAACUUUAGACUGACAUUUUAUGCUGAACCUGAAGCAACAUCUGAAGCAACAUCUCAUCCAGGUAGCUCAGGCUUGAGCUCAGAUUAGUCCUCCAGAGGGACAAUGUCCCUCAGCAAGACACCCAGUUAGUUACCAAGUCACGGAAGGAGGACAAAGUCCAUGUUCUGUAGUUUCCAUCGUCAGGGUGAAUGUAGCGAUCUACAGACCAGACCCAGUUACACGGUUCUGGCAGGAGGAAUGGGCCAAUUUUCUAGCAAACUUAUGAGAAGCUUGUGGAAGGAAACACAAAACAUUAAAACUUUAAAAAAGUAAAAAGAAAAAUUGAUCCGAAUCAAACAGUCUAAAGGGAGGUUUUACCAAAUAAUGAGGAAAAGUUUAAAAAUGUUCUGUCUUAGAAAUAAUCCUGUAAUUCUGACCUAAAACAGGAGGUUUAUUCUGAUUUAAUGUCAGACUGUGAGGAAACAAUGAUUGUGUCUUUUUAUCCUAUCUGUAAAUAUCUGGUUUAACUGGAUAUUCAAGCUUGGAGUUGAUUGUUGCUACUGGAGGGAAUUGCAUCAAUAUGAGCAGCUAUUAUAAAUGCUAUAAAUAUGCAGCAAUUGCUUUUAUUCAGGCUUUAUGCUAACCCUACAUGGGCAUUUUGUAUCAUCUUUUUAUGACUUUCUUUGUUUAAUGCUUAAAGGAAAAUAAAG